rnacentral:rRNA from 1 species
CCUACGGGUGGCAGCAGUGAGGAAUAUUGGUCAAUGGGCGCGAGCCUGAACCAGCCAAGUAGCGUGAAGGAUGACUGCCCUACGGGUUGUAAACUUCUUUUGCCGGGGAGCAACGGGCGUCACGUGUGGCGCCACUGAGAGUACCCGGAGAAAAAGCAUCGGCUAACUCCGUGCCAGCAGCCGCGGUAAUACGGAGGAUGCGAGCGUUAUCCGGAUUUAUUGGGUUUAAAGGGUGCGUAGGCGGAUCGUUAAGUCAGUGGUCAAAUUGAGGGGCUCAACCCCUUCCCGCCAUUGAAACUGGCGUUCUUGAGUGGAAGAGAAGUAUGCGGAAUGCGUGGUGUAGCGGUGAAAUGCAUAGAUAUCACGCAGAACCCCGAUUGCGAAGGCAGCAUGCCGGCUUCCGACUGACGCUGAAGCACGAAAGCGUGGGGAUCGAACAGGAUUAGAUACCCUUGUAGUC